rnacentral:rRNA from 1 species
UUUUAUUUUUGGUUGGCAGCAGCCAGUAUACAGUGAAACUGCGAAUGGCUCAUUAAAUCAGUUAUCGUUUAUUUGAUAGUACCUUACUACUUGGAUAACCGUGGUAAUUCUAGAGCUAAUACAUGCUAAAAAUCCCGACCUCCGGAAGGGAUGUAUUUAUUAGAUAAAAAACCAAUGCCUUCGGGCUCCUUGGUGAUUCAUGAUAACUUAACGAAUCGCAUGGCCUUGCGCCGGCGAUGGUUCAUUCAAAUUUCUGCCCUAUCAACUUUCGAUGGUAGGAUAGUGGCCUACCAUGGUUUCAACGGGUAACGGGGAAUUAGGGUUCGAUUCCGGAGAGGGAGCCUGAGAAACGGCUACCACAUCCAAGGAAGGCAGCAGGCGCGCAAAUUACCCAAUCCCAAUUCGGGGAGGUAGUGACAAUAAAUACUGAUACAGGGCUCUUUUGGGUCUUGUAAUUGGAAUGAGUACAAUUUAAAUCCCUUAACGAGGAACAAUUGGAGGGCAAGUCUGGCCCC